UACGUAGGGGGCGAGCGUUGUCCGGAUUCAUUGGGCGUAAAGAGCUCGUAGGCGGCUUGGCAAGUCGGGUGUGAAAACUCCAGGCUCAACCUGGAGACGCCACCCGGGACUGCUAUGGCUAGAGUCCGGUAGGGGAUCACGGAAUUCCUGGUGUAGCGGUGAAAUGCGCAGAUAUCAGGAGGAACACCGGUGGCGAAGGCGGGUCUCUGGGCCGAUACUGACGCUGAGGAGCGAAAGCGUGGGGAGCGAACAGG
rnacentral:rRNA from 1 species